GAUGAACGCUGGCGGCGUGCCUAAUACAUGCAAGUCGAGCGAACGGACGAGAAGCUUGCUUCUCUGAUGUUAGCGGCGGACGGGUGAGUAACACGUGGAUAACCUACCUAUAAGACUGGGAUAACUUCGGGAAACCGGAGCUAAUACCGGAUAAUAUUUUGAACCGCAUGGUUCAAAAGUGAAAGACGGUCUUGCUGUCACUUAUAGAUGGAUCCGCGCUGCAUUAGCUAGUUGGUAAGGUAACGGCUUACCAAGGCAACGAUGCAUAGCCGACCUGAGAGGGUGAUCGGCUACACUGGAACUGAGACACGGUCCAGACUCCUACGGGAGGCAGCAGUAGGGAAUCUUCCGCAAUGGGCGAAAGCCUGUCGGAGCAACGCCGCGUGAGUGAUGAAGGUCUUCGGAUCGUAAAACUCUGUUAUUAGGGAAGAACAUAUGUGUAAGUAACUGUGCACAUCUUGACGGUACCUAAUCAGAAAGCCACGGCUAACUACGUG
rnacentral:rRNA from 1 species